UGUUGCAAAACUUGUAUAUGCACUGAAUCAAGCUCAUAAUUGACAAACAUGUACUAUCAAAUAAAUACUAUAAUUAAUAAAUCUAUAUAACAUUUACAUAACAUAUCAAUCAAAAUAAUCAGAAAGUUAUAAUUCUUAAAUUACUAUUCUCCCAAUUGAUUUAUCUCUAGAAUAUCAAGAUCCACAUAAAAUUUGAUCACAGAAUUAUAUGCCAAGUAAAUUUUUCUUGCAUACAUAAAUGAAAC
rnacentral:lncRNA from 1 species